rnacentral:lncRNA from 1 species
UAUUCACACUAUGACCCGGACACCACCGAGCCAAUCAGCUCCGGCCUUCAGUCCCUGGAGGAGCUGUUGUCGUGGAAACGCAGCGAGGCCAACCCCUUCAACGUGGCGACGGUGCCCCUGGCCAAUCGGGAGCCUUCUCUGACCAGCACGCCGCACCGGACUCUGGUGAGUCACGACAUGAUGGGCGGAUACCUGGAUGACAGGUUUCUGCAGGGAGCAGAGUCGGAUGCUCCCUAUGUGUUCUACCACUGGCAGUACAUCGACGUGUUUAACUACUUCAGCCACAACACGGUGACCAUCCCCCCGUCCGUCUGGACCAACGCCGCUCACAGACACGGAGUCAUCGUCCUGGGCACCUUCAUCACUGAGUGGACGGACGGGGGGAAGAUGUGCGAGGUCUUCCUGAAAGAGGAGGAGUCUUACAGGGCCGUAGCUGAUAGGCUGGUUCAGAUAGCCCACUGUUACGGCUUCGAUGGUUGGCUGAUAAACAUCGAGAACCCUCUCGGUGAGACGGCUGUGAAGAACACUCCUCUGUUUCUACGUUAUCUGACGGACCAGAUGCACGAGAGAGUCCCUGGUAGUAUGGUGUUGUGGUAUGACUCUGUUCUGGAGAACGGACAGCUCAAAUGGCAGAAUGAACUCAACCCAUCCAACAGAGUGUUUUUCUCAGCGUGUGAUGGUAUCUUCACCAACUAUAACUGGACAGAGCAGAACCUGGAGGGAAUGAAGGCCUACUCAGCUGCUCAGGGCCGGCUGGCGGACAUCUUUGUUGGGGUGGACGUGUUCGCCAGGGGAGAGGUGGUGGGGGGGAAGCUGGAGACUAAUAAGGCUCUGGAGAUGAUUCGUAAACAUGACUUCUCCACGGCCAUCUUUGCUCCAGGCUGGGUGUACGAGUCCAUCCCAGACAAGACUGACUUCAGGAAGGAGCAGGACAAGUUCUGGUCUCUUCUGUCUGACUUCCUGUAUGUCCACCGGCCCUCGUCGCCCCUCCCUUUCGUCUCCUCCUUCUGCCAGGGUGCUGGGACCAGCCUCUACUGGAGGGGACAGCGUGAGGUGGAUCGUAGCUGGUUCAACCUAGAUGCCCAGGAGCUGCAACCCCUAUACUACAGAGAGACCCUCGAGGGGGAGGGCUGGCUGAGGACCCAGGGCUGCCCUGAAGAUGCCUGGAGCGGGGGCAGCUCUCUGCUCGUAGAGGGUGUCCUACCCUCCAUGCUGUCUAAAGUCUGCGCCAGGUGGGGGAGUGUGUGGGGGAGUGUGUGUUCCCAGUUGGAGCUGCAGGGCUGUGCUCUGAGGGAUGUGUGUGUCAGCGUGCAGCGUGAUGGAGGAGAUAAGGACACACCUUUCAAAUGCCGGGUCGGAGAGAUUAUGAUCCUGGAUGCUGAGUCCCUCUCCGUUCCUCCCCUCCCAGUGCAGAGUGUGUGUCUCUAUGACGUGGUGUGGCUGAGGGGCGCCAAUAAACUUAAUCUCAACGCCACCCUGCGCUGGCGUUACCCUGCCCAACUCGUACGCCACUUCCUGGUGUACUGGCGCCGGCUGAGGGGUCCAGACCCCCGGAUCCCAUCUGGCAAGCUGGCCCUGAUUGGCCGAGCCUACUGCCCCUUAUUCCGGGUGACCGAGCUGACGGUUCCAGAACCUCCAGGUCUUCUAGAACUGGUGGUGGAACCCGUGUCCCGGGAGGGCUUCCGUGUUCCUGAGUCCCAAUGGGGGAGGAGGAGUCUCAGUUAUACUGAGGAGAGGACGGACCAAUCAUAA